rnacentral:rRNA from 1 species
CCCUUAGAUGUUCUGGGCCGCACGCGCGCUACACUGACGAAGUCAGCGAGCAUGUCCUACGCCGACAGGUGCGGGGAAUCUUGUCAAACUUCGUCGUGAUGGGGAUUGAUUAUUGAAAUUCUUGAUCAUCAACGAGGAAUUCCUAGUAAGCGCAAGUCAGCAGCUUGCGUUGAUUACGUCCCUGCCCUUUGUACACACCGCCCGUCGCUACUACCGAUUGGAUGGUGUAAUGAGAUCUUCGGAUUGGAGCCGUCGUGGCCGGCAACGGUCGUGUCGGAGGCCGAGAAGCUGCUCUAAUUUCAUCAUCUAGAGGAAGUAAAAGUCGUAACA